rnacentral:tRNA from 1 species
GAGGGUAUAUCUCAAGUGGUGGAGCACGUGCUUAGCAUGCAUGAGGUCCUGUGUUCAAUCCCCAGUACCUCCA